GUUUCUCACUUACAGCACAGCAUCUUCAGCUCAUUUUCCCUGGGGAGAACCUUCCCUUCCAUCCAUCCUUCCCUUUUCUGACUGAGUCUCUGUCCUAGUCCUAACCAAAGAUAAUAUUGAAAGGAAAAUGUGACAACCUCACAGGAUAACUGGAAGAGCUUAAAACAUUUUGCAAUGAGAAAAGUGUAUAGAAACUCUGGUAUUUCAGAAUAUCAGAUAACAAACACAACACAGUCUUCCAGAGGUACAUCUGGGAACCGUUACUAGCCUGUGUUAAAUUUUUCUGUUCUGUAGGAAGUCAAGCUCUUGAGUUCAGAAAAGCUCCUUCUCUACUGUUUGUUCAGCACUCCCAGAAGUGAUUCAGAUUAAAUGAAUCUGUUCUCUGGGUGGCAGAGAUCAUGUCCAGUGGCAUUUGUCUCUCAUGCACACAUUCAUUUGUUCAUCUAUUAUAUCAC
rnacentral:lncRNA from 1 species